rnacentral:rRNA from 2 species
UACGAGAGGUCCAAACGUUAUUCGGAAUUACUGGGCUUACAGAGUUCGUAGGCGGCUCAGAAAGUGGGGUGUGAAAUCCCUCGGCUCAACCGAGGAACAGCGCUCCAAACUACUGAGCUAGAGGAAGAUAGAGGUGAGCGGAACUGAUGGUGGAGCGGUGAAAUGCGUUGAUAUCAUCAGGAACACCGGAGGCGAAGGCGGCUCACUGGGUCUUUACUGACGCUGAGGAACGAAAGCUAGGGGAGCAAACGGG